rnacentral:rRNA from 1 species
CAGAUUGCAGGCUGNAACCCGCCUGCAUGAAGUCGGAAUUGCUAGUAAUCGCGGAUCAGCAUGCCGCGGUGAAUACGUUCCCGGGCCUUGUACACACCGCCCGUCACACCAUGAGAGCCGGUAAUACCCGAAGUCCGUAGCCUAACCGCAAGGAGGGCGCGGCCGAAGGUAGGACUGGUAAUUAGGGUGAAGUCGUAACAAGGUACC